CUAGCAUGAGGGCCCAAGAUAUUUCAUUAACUCAUGUUUGAUACACAAUGUCCCCUCUCUAACUCAUGUUUGGCCGAGAAAUUUUCCCCUCUCUAAUUUCAUUUCCCACUCUUUUUUCCCUCUCAAAUUUCAUUCUAAUUUUUCACUCUCUAAUUUCCCUCUCUAAUCUCAUUCUCAUUUUCCCUCUCUAAUUUCCCCUCAUUUUCCCCUCUAAUUUCCCUCUAAUUUCACUCUCUAAAUAGCCCUAACGAGAAUCACAAUUCCCUAUCCAAAUUUCCCUCUUAUCUUCCGCAUUUUACUUCAUUUGAGUUUGCAAGGAAGCAUGGCUGCUUUUCAGCGUUACAAAGCAAGUGUGGACCCAGCUCCUGCUUCUGGAGGUUGAAAUUGAAACAACCCAAAAUUGAUCGGACUAGGCGUAUGUGGAGUGAUCGUGAGGAACAGGUUCUGCUGACAUCUUUGAUGGAGCUCGUCGUGCACGGUUGGAAAUCCGAUAAUGGAUUUCGAUCUGGGUACCUGAAGAAGCUGGAGGAUGAUCUGCGUCGUGAGUUCCCUACAACUGAUCUGAAGGCUAGUCCUAACAUCACUUCAAAGCUACAAGCUUGGAAAAAGAGUUACAACAAUGAGCCAAACUUCUUCCUAAUACUUGAUGAGGAGUGUAAUCAAACCCUUCGUUUGCAAGAUUAAA